GCCAUAAGGCGGCUCGGUCCGUGCGGUUCCCGGCUCCUGCAGCGGGCUGAGGAGCCCUGCCACGGCUUUCUGGUGGCUGUAGAUGCGUGCUGUCCUCGUCUCGGCCCCAAAUUGCAGUGGGUGGCUGCUGCGAGGCCCCGAGUUCACCCGGUUGCAUCCCCCAAACGCACGGUGUGUUCCACGUGCGUCCCUCGCGGGAGGCUGCUGGGUUUGCCUAUAGCAGCCACGUGGCACCGUCUGCCCCUGCUAACAACCUUCCUUGCUGCAGGGGUUACAAACUGCCCUGUUGCAUGGCACGGGGCACGGUGCUGCUGCGCGGACGGGAAACCACAUGAGACGCUGUUUUGUUGAAGCAGCAAGCCGUGCUCGCCAACAAACUGAUUCUUAAUAUUAUUUCUUCUCAGGGCUGUCUGGAAACCCGCGUCUCUCUGGGGAAGGGCAGCUGGAGCCCUGGGGAGAGGCCUUGGUGCUGCUCCUUCCCAUACGAUGGCAGCAGAGGGCUGCAGCUGCUUUUGUGCUCUUCUCCCAACGUGUUUUUCUGCUGACACGAACACGGCAAUAUGGAUGGGAUUUGUGCAGGAAUUUAAAGAAACAAAGAGAAUCGAAAACACGACCAAAUAGGCAAACAGAGAACAAAUUACGAGUAUUUACUUAAUGCAUUCCAUGCACUGAGUGGUCGAGAUGACACCUGGCCUGGUGCUCUGAUCCUGGCUGGUGGUGCUGCAUCGUCCGCGUCCUCGCUGCAGUAUCAGAACAGAGUGGCAUCCUGCUGACGCUUAGGGCUACAGGAAAGCAUAACAGAGCCUUCACACUGCCUGGAGUUUCCAUCUGUCCUUGUUCGUCGCUGGGUUUUAAGUGCCGUAGUCUGGAGCUUGUGAGGAAGGAGGGCAGGAAUGGGUUGAAUGCUAGGACUUGCCAUUUUCUCCUUCUCUUCUACCUCGCUUUGGGGCAGUGGUUGCAGCUGAGAGGAGUUAAUAAUGCUCUGUCCCCCUACACUGCCUUUCUGCCAAGGGUCUCCAACUGCUCUGUGUGCCUUAAAGCUGCUCGAGGAGCCCUGUGGAGGAGGGCUGCCCUCACCCAAGUGGAGCAGGAGGGCUGAGGGCUUCCUCGGGGUCACUUGGAAACAGCAUGGCAGCCCUGAGCCGAGUGUUCAGAUAGAGGAAACGGGCUGAGGGAGCACGAGGUGGAUGCAGAAGGGCUCAGGUUUGUCCCUUGUGCACGUUGCUCAUCCUUGGUUGGAUAUUUGGGAUUCGCCUCACACCUCAGCAUUCCCUGAGCUGAUCUCUAAGCCUUCCUGUCUGCUCCUUCCCUAGAAAUGAUCUUUAUGUUAUUCCCAUCUUUGGCUUUUCUGCAUCUUCCCCGUUUGCAGAGAAAUGGAUACGGACACACACAAGAAGAGAAGUGGAUUACCAGGAAUUAAUUAGCAUCCCCAAUUGUGUUCCUUGGGUUUUCUGAAGAGCUGAGCAAACCUGUCAGCGUGCGACUGGGGCUCUUCCUUUCUGUUUCUUUUUAAGAUGCAGCAUUCAGCCCUAAACAGAUGGGAACCUGUCAGCACAACACGGAGAUAAUUAUCCGUUGGAGCCAUGGGAAGCUUCAUGGCUGAGAGGAAGUUACUGCAGCCAGUGCAGCCCUGCUUUAUCAUCUUAGCAGCUUUUUUGGACAGAGCAUGUUGCCGUGAAGAGAACCCAGAGCUGGAGGUGGGAACCAGAGCUCUCAGAUCAGGGAUUUUGAAGGAGGAAGAAAACUGUACCUGACGUUGGACUUUGGCCUUCUCUCUCAUUUUCGUGCCACCUCUCCCCAGUUUGGGACCCAGGACUGCACUGAUGGAAGCAGGCUGAGCAUUGCUG